rnacentral:lncRNA from 1 species
AUGCCAAAGAAAGGCAAUGCCAAAGAAUGCUCAAACUACCGUACAAUUGUACUCAUCUCACAUGCUAGUAAAGUAAUGCUCAAAAUUCUCCAAGCCAGGCUUCAGCAAUACGUGAACUGUGAACUUCCUGAUGUUCAAGCUGGUUUUAGAAAAGGCAGAGGAACCAGAGAUCAAAUUGCCAACAUCCGCUGGAUCAUGGAAACAGCAAGAGAGUUUCAGAAAAACAUCUAUUUCUGCUUUAUUGACUAUGCCAAAGCCUUUGACUGUGUAGAUCACAAUAAACUGUGGAAAAUUCUGAAAGAGAUGGGAAUACCAGACCACCUGACCUGCCUCUUGAGAAAUCUACAUGCAGGUCAGGAAGCAACAGUUAGAACUAGACAUGGAACAACAGACUGGUUCCAAAUAGGAAAAGGAGUACAUCAAGGCUGUAUAUUGUCACCCUGUUUAUUUAACUUAUAUGCAGAGUACAUCAUGAGAAAUGCUGGACUGGAUGAAGCACAAGCUGGAAUCAAGAUUGCCAGGAGAAAUAGCAAUAACCUGAGAUAUGCAGAUGACACCACCCUUAUGGCAGAAAGUGAAGAGGAGCUAAAAAGCCUCUUGAUGAAAGUGAAAGAGGAGAGUGAAAAAGUUGGCUUAAAGCUCAACAUUCAGAAAACGAAGAUCAUGGCAUCUGGUCCCAUCACUUCAUGGGAAAUAGAUGGGGAAACAGUGGAAACAGUGUCAGACUUUAUUUUCUUGGGCUCCAAAAUCACUGCAGAUGGUGACUGCAGCCAUGAAAUUAAAAGAUGCUUACUCCUUGGAAGAAAAGUUAUGACCAACCUAGAUAGUAUAUUCAGAAGCAGAGACAUUACUUUGCCGACUAAGGUCUAUCUAGUCAAGGCUAUGGUUUUUCAAGUAGUCAUGUAUGAAUGUGAGAGUUGGACUGUGAAGAAGGCUGAGCACCAAAGAAUUGAUGCUUUUGAAGUGUGGUGUUGGAGAAGACUCUUGAGAGUCCCUUGGACUGCAAGGAGAUCCAACCAAUCCAUUCUGAAGGAGAUGAGCCCUGGGAUUUCUUUGGAAGGAAUGAUGCUAAAGCUGAAACUCCAGUACUUUGGCCACCUCAUGAGAAGAGUUGACUCCUUGGAAAAGACUUUAAUGCUGGGAAGGCUUGGGGGCAGGAGGAGAAGGGGACGACAGAGGAUGAGAUGGCUGGAUGGCAUCACUGACUCGAUGGGCAUGAGUCUGAGUGAACUCCGGGAGCUGGUGAUGGACAGAGAGGCCUGGCGUGCUGCGAUUCAUGGGGUUGCAAAGAGUCGGACACGACUGAGCGACUGA